AUAUAUGCUAGCAGGUUCUUUAUUGAAAAUAGAGCUAUUUCUCUUCGAAACCCUGCUAUAAAGCAGGAAGGAGUGGAAUGCUGGCCUGGCUUCCUCAGCAAGUAUGACUCCUAAUGAGAGAUGACACACCCCACAGAACCCUGUAGUCUCCCUGGAAACAGGACCACUAACAGUGAUGCCUGGGUCACAGUCACUGAGUAUUAAUAUAAUGUUUCAGAAAAGAGGCCUGUGAGCCAUUAUCUGUGUAGUAUGUUCAGACUUUCUACACACUUGUGAUGACUCCAAGUUCCCUUGAAAAGGACUGUGAAUUUGGCUUCGACUAUGCAGCAAAUAAAGCCAAAGCUGGUCAGUACUACUCAAGGUACCCUAGAACUCAGGGCUCAAGAAAGCAGAGUGUACUUAUGGAGAGGACACUCGGCCACAGGAGACCACCACUGCCUCAGACAGCACUCUUUAUAGGCCGAGAUCGCAUGGGUGGGCUUCAUAGACACCAAGCCACCAGUGAUGCCAGGACAAGCUGAUACCAGCAUCUGUGGGCUCCCAACUGGCCUAGAGUUCUUCUGUCUCAGCCUCUGGAAUGCUGGACUACAGGUGUGCAUUGCCGUGCUCGGCUCAAAAGACCAGUUUUGAUCAAGUUAAAGUCAAAUUCGCAAACAUUAAAACUCAAAAGAGAAACUGGA